GCCCGUAACAUGCCACGCUGUCUGGAGGAUGGCUCGGCUUGAGAGCCGAAGAAGGGCGCGGCAAGCCGCGAUACAGCCUCGGGUAAGCGCAAGCAGCCUUAGAACCGAGGAUACCCGAAUGAGACUUCUCAACAACCGUAAGGUUGUUGCUCCUAAUGGAGCGGGAACCCCCCGAACGGAAGCAUCUUAGUAGGGGGAGGAAAAGAAACCAACACGGGAUUCCCUUAGUAGCAGCGAGCGAAAUGGGAACAGUCCAAACCGAAUCCCUUACAGAAAUGCAGGGGAGAUGUAGGGUUAAGGGCCUUGCUUCCUCUUCGCUGGCAAAGCUGAAGUAGCCUGAAAAGGCUCGCCAAAGAGGGUGAUAGCCCCGUAAGUAUAAACCAGAAAGAGCUGAGCGAGAGUCCCAGACUACCACACCGUGGCUUCGGUGUGGAAAGUUGGAAGUCACCAACUUCCAAGACUAAAUACGCCUCAAGACCGAUAGCGCACUAGUACGGUGACGGAAAACUGAAAAGUACCCCGGAAUGGGGGUGAAAAGUGCCUGAAACCAGACAGUUACAGACGUGCAUGGCCCAGAAGAGUAGAAAUUUUCCAAAGGAAUCUGUAGUGAUGCAGUUGUACGAGGAAGAUGGAUCAGGGUUAUGCGUUCCGUCUCGAAACACGGGCCGGGGAGUUUAUAGCUAUGGCAAGCCUAAAAGGUAAAACUUGUAAGCGUAGGGAAACCAACACGCACGCAGCUCGCAAGAGUCAGGUGCAGGGUCUGAAAGGGCCCGAAGUCAUAACUAUACAUACUAGAAACCAGACGAUCUAGCCCUGGGCAGGAUGAAGCUAGGCGAAAGCCUAGUGGAGGUCCGAAAGGGUUCUGACGUGCAAUUUGUUCCCCAGACCUGGGGCUAGGGGCUAAAGACCAAUCUAGUCUGGUGAUAGCUAGUUCCUUCCGAAGUGGGCCUGAGCCCAGUCCUGAGCGAGGCAGCUGGUGGGGUAGAGCACUGAUU
rnacentral:rRNA from 1 species